AAUGCCCAUUGGUUAGAUUGAGACAUUGAUGGGAAAUGCUACUAUAACAGCAUUUGCACAUUACAUAUGAUUAUUAUUGGAAGUGAGCAAUGUUAUCAGCCUGAUAAUUCAAAAGAUUUUACAUAACACAUUUUCUCAGAUAUAUAUACUGUUCGUCUACCACAAGAAUGGCUCCCGCCAGGAAGUCUGUGCAUGUCUGUUGCCGUGGAAACAAGACUUGCUCCAUUUUCGACAGGGGAAGAAAGCCAUCAAGGCGUUCAGUAAGCCAAAAGAAAAGCAUCCAUUUUGGACGCUUUUCUUCUGGCUUACUGAACGCCUUGAUGGCCUGUUGGCGAUGUGUUUAUUAUUAUCAUUUUUUUUUUUUCGUAAUUACUUCCUAAACUGAAAGGACAUCUUGCCAGUUUAACAAAUUAGCGAAUUCAGUAUAACAAAUGGGAACAAAUAAUUUUAAAAGCAG
rnacentral:lncRNA from 1 species